GUCGACGAAAGCUGGUCGGCAGUCUACCUUGGGGUAUACCCACGGUAGUAGUUUAUCGGUAGACGGUGCGCAAACUACGAACUCGAUGGUGACGCAAGACACGGACAAGCUUUUUAUCCAGGUUCGGCCGCCGAGUUGGCGUAAUACCUACGUCCUGCGUCUGGUUGUAUUGAUUUGUGUUGAGAGAAUAUGAUGUGAUGUAGGGGGGUCCCUUGCCCCUCCUUAUAUAGUCUGGAGGGCAGGGUUACAGAUCUGGAAACUAAUCCUAGUCGGUUACAAUUGCCAUGGAUAAUUCGAUAUCAAUUCCUAUUCUAACCGACUAGAAUCCUGCUUGAUCUCCACGUCUUGUUUCCUUGCGCGAAACUCCAGGUUGUCGGAUCAAGCCUUGAACUCGUCUCGUAAUGGGCCAAGCCUCCUGGCCCAAGUCUAGCCGUAAGGGUAUAGGGGUUUAUACCCCCACAGCUAGUCCCCGAGCACCAUGUAUUGUGAUGUAACACGCCGUCUUGAGCUUCUUCGAUCAGUGAGGCUUGACGUCUUCAGGAAAGUUGCCCGAACAGUUGCAACGGUAUUUUGACCAACUCAAAAGACAGUUGAUCAACAUUGACAUCGAAGAAGCAGGUUGUUCGAAGAAUGCAUGGUGCUCUAAAUUAAAAAAGAUUUCUUUCCUGGUGAAGUGUGCCCACUUUACUUUUUUGAAAGGUAUAAACACCAAAAAAAACAAGCAUAUUCACCGCAAGGUGAAGUGUGCCCACUUAGUCCCCGAGCCUGGUAGUAGGUGACGUAGGCACGUGGUACCAGGGUCAAAAUAAAAGUCCUCAAAGAAAUUCUGUAGCUGAGAUGCAUCGCCAGAUGCAUCGUACCGAUGUAGUCCCCGAGCUUGCUGGAAGGCGAAGUAUGAGCCUUGUAGCAAGGUCUAAAAAAUUGAAUUUACCAGUCCCCGAGCAUAUCAUGCUCGUCUGCAACUGAAAAGACCAAUCGACCAGUUCCCAAGCACUUAGCGUGCUUCUUGGAAUUAUAUGUUGCUAUACUGUACGACCAGUCCCCGAGCGUCGAGCACUCAACGGUCGGUGCAUGCUUUAAAGCUUUGAGCUCAUAGAAUGAGCGACCAGUCCCCGAGCGUCGAGUGCUCGGUGGUCGGUGCAGUCAUUGAAGUUCCGAGCUAAUAGACUGGGCGACCAGUCCCCGAGCGUCGAGUGCUCGGUGACCGGUAUAGUCCUUGAAGUUCUGAGUUGGUAGACUGGGCGACCAGUCCCCGAGCGUCGAGUGCUCAGUGGUCGGUGCAGUCCUUCAAGUUCUGAGUUGGUAGACUGGGCGACCAGUCCCCGAGCGUCGAGUGCUCGGUGGUCGGUGCAGUCCCCGGGUUGUUGACUCACUGGCGUAUAUGUCUUCUUACUUUUGAAAAGAUCUUUCCAAUUAAAAUUAUCGUGACGAGGUCUCCUGACAAUAUGUCAGAUGGACGCAUGAAAAGUUGCGCCUGGCAACUGUACCACCGCUCUUUGCAUGGUUUGAGAAAAGGAAACCAUCAAUUGGUACGAAAACUCCGCCGCAUUAAUUAUCUAUAAUCAUUGUAAACCGAAACGCCGCGUCCGCCGCAUGGCCUGCCCACUUCCCGAGAAUACAGGAAGUGGGAGAGGUGGGGUCGCGGGUUUAUAAGGGCCUAACAGGACCGCCUGUACCGCUUCGCCUGCCAUUGCCUUCAAACCUUCCGCUCUCAUCUUCUCCAAUCUCCUGCAUCUUCCUAACUCCAGUCCACACUCGCACCUCUAAUGGCGAAGACCGACUCCAGGAAGAGGGCCGACCUGAUGGCCAAGGAGUGGAAGAAGUCCCGCAGCACCACAAAAUCUCUUGGUGACCUCGUCGAUAUGGGUCUUCUGCACGGCGCAGAGCUCGGCGGCUGGAGGGCGCCGGAGGGGGAGAGCUACCCCGACCCUCGCGCCGGUGAGAUCGUCGUUUUUGAGGAUUUCGUUAAGAGAGGCUUUGGUGUUCCUAUUCAUCCUUUUCUUCAAGGUCUUCUUUUGUACUAUGAGAUCGGGAUUUGCAAUCUGCACCCGAACUCAAUUCUCCUUAUUUCCACCUUCAUCCAUCUGUGCGAGGCCUAUGUUGGCAUAGAGCCGCACUUCGAUCUUUUCCGGUACCUUUUCUGCUUGAGGAAGAAGGGAGCAGUUGGAGGCUCCAAGGUUGCAGGUGGAGUAUACCUCAACCUUCGCGAUGGGAUGAAGAACCGCUACCUGCACUGCCCAUGGAACACUUCCUUGACCGAAUGGUACAGGAAGUGGUUCUACGUCAGGGAGGAACCGGGCAGCUCCACGUUCUGCGACGUGGGGUACAUUCCCGAGAAGAGGACGAGCUGGACCGACCGCCCAGAGUUCGACGGUCAAGUGGCGGAUCUGAUGAAGCUGAUCGACUGGUCGCGCCUGGAUGGGCUUGGCGUGGUCGGCAACUUCAUUUGCCGCCGGGUGAUGCCCUGCCAGAAGAGGGUGCACUCGGCGUAUGAGUAUGCCGGAAGCGCAGACCCGACCAGGAUGCGGUCGGAGAUCUUGGAGAAAGCGGAGGUACAACAGCUGUUGAACGAGCUGUUUAACUUCGCGGAUGGGGGCUUCAUCCGUGGCAGUGAUCGGGUGCAAGCCUUCAAGUUAGGACGACCAGCGCCAAGGGUAUGUAGCAGAGCCUGUUUGAUCAUUCGUAUAUCGUCUGCAGUUAACUCAUCUCUGUUGCUUUUGCAGGUCGGUGAUGUCGACCGGUGCACAGUGUAUGUAUCACUGGCACCGGGGAUGGAAAAUCCUGCGGGAGAAGGCCCGCCAGAGGAGGACGCUGCUCGGUGUACUCAUUAUACCAGCAGUGAGGAAGACCAAGCCCGCCCCGUCCCGACCUCCGAGGAGAGGGUAGCGGGGAAAAGGCCAUUGCCGGCAGAUCCCUUGCCGACGCCGAAUCUGCCGGCGGAUAGCAGCCAAGCACCGAAGCGUCGUCGGCUCGUGCGGAUCGUCGACGACGACGACGACGAGGAGGCUGCGCCGUCGUUGGUCCGACGGCCUCGGAGCCGCCCAGACACUGCGCCGGUCGCCCCUGAUCGAGUGGCCAGCGGCGCCGCUGCCCCACAAGCUGUCGAGACGGGGGCACAGGUGCCGACCGGUCGGGCGAGGAGGAGGUUCACCGCGACCCACCGUCGGUCAGACCUGUAAGUGUUCGACUUACGUUUUUUUUUUUUUUAACUUCAGUUCCUGUAGUGCGGCAUCGGAUGUCGACCCUGGCCAAACUGUCGGCCAGGGAACGGGCGAGCCUGCCCGCGGUUCUGGGGAUGCAGCCCCCCAGACCACAGAGCAGCCAACAGCUGCAGUCGCGCCUGGGAGCACCGAGGGGCUCCCGAGUGCGGCGCCGACAACAAGCAGCCCGACCAGGGCUGGAGAGGCUCCCCCAACUGACUCCUCGGAGAAGGGGAGAUCUCCGACCGCUCCUCCUGCCGGGGGGAGUGAAGUCCCCCCGCCGCCCCGAACAGGAGCCUCUUCGGCUGCAGGCUCCCCAGGUCUGGUCCAAGGGCCAGUAAUGCCUGGGACCACCACCGGGGGUGACGCAGCACAGGAGGAAGAAGCCCGGGCGGCCUCCGACGACGAGGUGGAGGAGAUCGAGGGUCGUCCCCGUGAUGGCCGCCAACACGUGUAUGUGUGGCGCCAACGCGGGGAUCACUUUAUCGGUCAUGAGGAGGUCGCCGAGACCGAAGAGGCCGCCAGGGUGGAGCGCGCGGCCAAGCGUCUUGUCGACGAAGUCAAGGUAAGCGGCUUUUUGUACUGCUGCGCAUUCUUUUUUUUUUUUUUUUUGCCUUGUCCUGCUUGAUCGUUGUAUGUCUGCUUUGUAGGACGUAAUGAAAACGGCGAAGUACCGGAAACGGUGCUUUGACCAGAUAGAAAACGUCAUGGCCGAGAACAAGGCCCUUGCCGCGGAGGUAGACCGGUUGCGGGCGGAGGUCGGGGAGAAGGUGGUCGAGAUGAGCGCCGAAAAGGAGCGUCGUCUCGACCUCUCUCGUCGUCUGGCCGACCAGUACCGGCUGCAGGAAGGUUAGUCACACGCUCCGAGCAGUUGCGCGUACUUGUAUAGUUUGCUUUGCUGACCAGUUCGGAUUCACGCAGACUUGGAGGAAGAGGUGGCGAGCCUCCAACAAGAGAAGGAGCAGCUCGGCCAACAGCUCGCCAGUGCACAGGAGUCCGGGCGGCGAGCGGAAGAGGAAUUGGGUCGAAGAGACCGAGAGUUAGCUGGUAAUGGGUACCGCCUUGUUGGUUGCUGCCUGCCCCUUUGCUUGUCUGAUAUGCCGAAAGUAACGUUUCGUUUUGUUUGCAGUGCUCAAGGUGAACACCAAAAAGCACCUGGAUGACCUGGUCAAGGACCGGGACUCCUGGAAGGUAAACUGUUGCAGGAUCUGGAAGGGAGUGUCCCCGGUCCUGGACCUGAUCAGUCCCGAGCUCCCGGAGAGCCAGCCCCGCGCGCCGCGGUUGACCCCGGUCGAGAAGGCGCAACGGGCGUGGGACUGGCUCCAGCAGUUCGUGAAGGACGCCGGGGAGUUUGCCGGCGCGCACGUCCUCAGCAUGGUGCGCGCCCACUACCCCCUGGUCGACUUGAGCAGGCUGGAGAAGGGGUACCCGAAGGAGGUCGGCCCGCAGGACGCGGACGAGCUUCGGGGUAGUCUGCUGGACUUGUCGUCGACGGUGAUCGGCGACAUCAAUCUGUGCGGAACGGCCACUCCUCCAGACCAGCCGAGCUCAGAUAGGUCGGCCAGGGAGUUGUCAGGCGCGUCCUUUGCUGGAGAUGGGCGGUCGACGCCUGCGGUCUCGACCAGCCAGGCGCCGGUGGCCCCGACCCCUUCGUCCGGGCAGCAGGGCCAGGCGGGUGAUCAGCCCGAGCAGCUAGGCCAAUAGAGUAGUCUGUAGGAAUAGACUAGUGUCUGCCCGUCAGGGUAUUUAUUGUAAACUUUGUAUGUAAAGUUUGUAAUAAACUUUGCUUUUUGUCAUGACCGUUGUUUUGAGCGCUGUAAGAAUAUCUGAGUGACGUGUCACCGUAUUUGUCUUGGUUGUUGCUAAGAGCAUCCAUUGCGGGAGUUUUGCCGAGUGCUGUAUGUGGCAAGGUAUAGGCAAAAAAUAGAGAAUUUCAUUAUCAAAAAUUAUAAGGUACUUACAAAAGAAAGUCGUUAAAACUUUAUGGAUAGAAACGUCGCAGUUUGUCGAUGUGCCAAGAGUUAGGCACUCGUGUUCCGUCUGGGUAUGCCAAUCUGUAGGACGUAGGUCGUGUGACCUCGGUCACCACGAAGGGUCCUUCCCAGGGAGUGGAUAACUUGUGCAUUCCCUCCUGGCUUGUUUUCCAUCGAAGCACCAGAUCGCCGACCACGAAGGAACGGUCCUUGACGUUCCUGUUGUAGUAUCGCCUGACUGCCGCGAGAUAUUUUGCUGUUCGGAGACAUGAAACUAAACGCUUUUCCUCCGUGCAAUUGAUUUCGAGUUCUCUGGCGUUGUCGGCAGUCGGCUCGUCGUAGUGCUCGAUUCUAGGAGAUCCGAAGUGUAUGUCGGACGGCAGGACCGCCUCUGCACCGUAUACCAUGAAGUAGGGAGACGCCCCUGUGUUUCGACUGGUCUGGGUUCGGAGGCCCCAGACUACUGCCGGCAAUUCUCUCAUCCAUCGACCAGGUGCUCUGUCGUUUUCGGUGUACAGCCUCUUCUUUAAGGCGUCAACGAUCAUUCCAUUAGCACGUUCGACUUGACCGUUGGCACGUGGAUGUGCUACUGACACAUAUUUUAUGACUAUGCCUCUGUCAUCGCAGAAAUCCCAAAAAGUGGUGCCAGUAAACUGAGUCCCCAGGUCGGUGAUUAUGCUGUUCGGGAUGCCGAAUCUGUGUAUGAUUUGAUUGAGAAAUUCCACGGCCUUCUCGGAGGUUGCCUUGACCAGGGGCAUGUAUUCGAUCCACUUGGAGAACUUGUCGAUUAGCACGAAGACAAACUUAAAAUUGCCUGGGGCUGGUUUAAAUGGUCCGAUCAUGUCAAGCCCCCAGCAAGCAAAGGGCCAAGACGACGGGAUAGUUUGAAUUUCAUGGGCAGGUACGUGGGUCCUCUUAGCGAAAAACUGACAUCCUUCGCAAUGGCGGACCAGUUUUUCUGCGUCGCCGACCGCGGUUGGCCAAUAAAAACCUGCUCGGAAAGCCUUUCCGACCAGCGUUCUAGAUGCGGCGUGAUUGCCGCAGGAUCCAGCGUGUAUGUCUUCCAAGAGCUUGAUACCAUCAUCUUGGGGUAUGCACUUGAGCAGUACUUCGGAGCUUGCGUUUUUCCGCAUGAGUUUUCCGUCGACCAGGAUGUAGUUCUUUGAUCGUCGGAUGAGGCGCUCGUUCUCUGUUUUGUCCUGAUAGCCUGUCCCGUCUGAUAUGUAUUUGAUGAACGGGGUACGCCAGUCACGCCCACCGGUUGUCGGAGUGGCGUCAUCUAUGAGCAUGGCCUCGGUGGGUUGCUUGUCGACCAGGGGAGGGCUUACGCUUGGCUCAUGGAUGUCCUGGACAAAAAUACCCCGCGGGAUCUGGGCCCGAGAUGAGCCUAACUUUGACAACGCAUCUGCUGCUUGGUUCUUAUCCCGGACCACGUGGAUGUACUCUAUGCCAUAGAAGUUAGUUUCCCAUUUGCGAAUUUCCUUGCAGUAAAGAUCCAUCUUUUCGUGGGUUGCGUCCCACUCCUUGUUGAGCUGGUUGAUGACCAAAGCGGAGUCGCCGUAGACAUAGAGGCGCUUGACCCCCAGUUCAACGGCUAGUCGUAUGCCGUGUAAGCAUGCUUCGUAUUCGGCGACGUUGUUUGACGCCGGGAAAAGGAUCCUAAGGACGUAGCGGAGUUUGUCCUUGUUGGGUGAUACGAACAGUAUCCCAGCGCCUGCACCGUUGAUGUUCAAGGACCCAUCAAAGAACAUUGACCAGUGGUCUGAGACAUCGGGAACGGAAGGCUCGUUGAGAUCCGUCCAUUCGGCAAUGAAAUCGACCAGGGCUUGGGACUUGACAGUGGUGCGACUCUGGAACUCCAGGGAAAAUGGACAUAAUUCCAUUGCCCAUUUCACGAUUCUGCCAUUGGCGUCUUUAUUGCGCAGGAUGUCCCCGAGAGGAAAGCUGGUUGUCACCAGGACUCGAUGGCCGUCGAAGUAGUGCUUCAGUUUUCUUGACGUUAUCAGGAUGGCGUAUAUAAGCUUCUGUAUUUGUGGGUACCUGGCCUUGGAUUCGUUUAAAACUUCGCUUAUGAAGUAAACGGGUCUCUGGACCUUGAAGGCGUGACCUGGUUCAUCUCGCUCGACCACUAUUGCUGUGGAAACAACCCUGUCGGUCGUAGCAAUGUAAAGAAGUAGGUCUUCAUUGGGCUGAGGCGCUGUGAGGACAGGCGGUGAAGUGAGGAAGGUCUUAAGCUGAGUGAACGCAGUGUCGGCUUCCUCGGUCCAGGAGAAUUUUUCUGACGCUUUCAAUAGUUUGAAGAAAGGGAGGCCUUUUUCUCCCAGCCUUGAGAUGAAACGACUGAGGGCGGCCAUGCAUCCGGUUAGCUUCUGAAUAUCCUUGACGUUCUUCGGUGGUCGCAUGUCGAGUACGGCUUUGACUUUUGAAGGGUUUGGUCGUAUGCCGUCGCGACUGACGACGUUCCCGAGCAGUAGACCGGAAGGAACGCCGAAAAUGCAUUUCUUGGGGUUAAGCUUCCACUUGUACUUAUUGAGUGCCUUGAAGGUUCGGUCUAAGUUGUCGAUUAGGGUGCUCGCGUCCCUUGUUUUUACGACCACGUCGUCCACAUAGGCCUCGACGAGGUCAUCGCGAAUCUCGUCGUGGAGGCAUUGCUGGAUGGCCCUUUGAUAAGUGGCUCCGGCGUUUUUAAGUCCGAAAGACAUGGUGGUGUAACAGUAUGCGCCGAAGGGUGUGAUGAAGGAUGUUUUGAUCUGAUCUUCUUCUUUUAACGAGAUCUGGUGAUAACCAGAGUAGCAAUCUAGAAAGGAGAGGAGUUCGCAUCCGGCCGUUGAGUCGACCACCUCGUCGAUGCGAGGAAGACCAAAAGGAUCUUUAGGACAGUGUUUGUUGAGAUCGGUGUAAUCAACGCACAUUCUCCAUUCAUUAUUCUUUUUGCGUACAAGAACCGGAUUGGCGAGCCAAUCGGGAUGAUACACCUCUUUUAUGAAUCCGGCUGCUAGAAGCCGUGUUAUUUCUGUCCUAAUAGCCUCCUUUUUGUCACGAGCGAACCGUCGCAGUUUUUGCUUGAUUGGUCUUGCGGUCUUCGAGACGUUUAAGGAGUGCUCGAUCAGGUUUCGUGGGACACCGGGCAUGUCUGCGGGUUUCCAUGCGAAAACGCUCACGUUGUCCCUUAGAAACCUGACGAGCGCGUCUUCCUAUUUUGGAUCCAGGUUAGCCCCAAUGAGGGCUGUCUUCUCGGGGUUGCCUUCGACCAGCUGCACUUCUUUGUACUCCUUGGAUUUCGAAUUCUUUCUGGCUGUCUCCUGCUCAGGUAGUCGGAGCUGGUCGGGAGGCAGCUGUGCGGCUUGGUUUGCUGUUUCCGCCAUGCGGAUUGAGAGGUCGAUUGCCUCGGUGAUCUUGAAGCUUUCUUCUUCGCAGGUACGCGGUGUAGACGUUGCCUCUGACGGUUAGGACACCCUUCUCCGUGGGCAUCUUAAGGACUAGGUAUGAGUAGUGCGGGACUGCCAUGAACUUUGUCAGCGAUGGUCGGCCUAGUAUGGCGUGAUAGGUCCCGUCGAAGUCCGCGACUACGAAGUUGAUGAACUCCGUCCGGAAGUGGUCGGGUGUGCUGAAUUGGACAGGCAAUGUUAUCUGUCCGAGAGGCACCGAACUUUGACCUGGCAAAACCCCCCAGAAUUGGGCGUCGUAAGGUUUUAGUUGUGCCGGUGAUAUCUUGAGGGCGGGCAAGCUGUUGCGGAAAAGGAUGUCGAUGGAGCUUCCCCCGUCCACGAGCACGCGCUCGAAUCUGAUGCUGUUGAUGCAGGGAUCAAGAAUCAGGGGGAAACGACCCGGCUCUGGGAUAGCGGCCCACUGGUCCAUCCUGCUGAACGAGAUCUCCCUGUGGGACCACGCGGGGAAUUUCGGAUCUGCGAUCAGCCCGUCCGUGCUGUCUAUGUUGAGGCAGGCUCUCUUUAACAGCUUUCUUUCUCGCUUGGACUCAGUAGAGACCUUGCCUCCGAAAAUGGAGUGGACCACGUCAGUGGGGCUGACGUAUUGGUGUCGGGGGUCCCUAUCUUGGUCCUCGUCCUCAUCUUCGUGGCCAUGCCCGUCGCGCUUGUUAUUUUUCUUGGCGGAGUCUUCUUGGGCGGCCCGCCGUGUGUAGAUACUUUUGAGGACGCGGCACUCUUCCAUGGUGUGGUUAGACUUUGGGUGUAGCUGGCACGGUCCCUUCAACGUUUUGUUGUAGUCGUCUUGGUAGUCCCGUCGUCCAUUGGGACGUUUGACCGUGUUUACUUCGUGGUCGUAUUCGCGAGGGCGCUUUCCUCUGAAGUCGUCGCGGCUGUCGCGCCGCCGAUCCCAACCCUCUCGGUGAUCGCGGUUGUCGGAGCGGCGGUGAUUUCUGUUGUCGUAGCGACCACGACCGUCAUCUCGCCGGGAGGGCUGGUCGGUGCCUCUCGCAUCGUCUCGGAUUAGUUUUUCUGCGUCAUCAGCAUCGGCGUAAUUUUUAGCCGUGGCGAGGAGCUCUGCUACCGUUGAUGGGCGCUUACGCAACAGCUUGUUCCUCAGCGCUUCAUGGAAACGCAAACCCUUGAUAAAGGCUGAUAUGGCCUCGUCGUGAGAAAUCUUCGGGAUUUUGAGGCGCAUAUCCGAGAAUCGUCGGAUGUAAUCACGCAGAGGUUCAUUCUUCCUGUCUCUUAUCCUUUCGAGGUCAUACUUGUUUCCGGGCUGCUCGCAUGUGGCGAUGAAGUUGUCGAUGAAAGCCUGUCGUAGCUCUUCCCAAGAGUCGAAGGAGUCCUCGGGCAAGCCGAGAAGCCACUGAUGACCAGCCUGGUCGAGGACUACGGGGAAGUAAUUAGCCAUGACGUGCUCAUCUCCUGCCGCUGAUCGGACGGCGAUUUCAUAGAGAGUGAUCCAGUUCUCUGGAUUUUCCUUGCUGUCGUAUUUUUUGAGUUUUUCGAGCUUGAAAUUGCGGGGCCACACGACCUGGCGGAGGUGUGAGGAGAACUGCCUUAGGCCCGGAGGACCGUGGGUCGCGUCGUACUCGAUGCGGCGUAGGUUUUCGUGGACUGCUCUCUCUGCGGCGCGCCUGUUGAUGCGAUCCCGGGCAUCUUUGGGAGGGAUGUUGUGGCGGAGAUCCCUGUGUUGAUCUUCUUUUUCUUGGCCGCGUACGCGGUCCUGCUGGCGGCGGCCAUCGGCGUCCCGACCACCAUCAUCGCGCCGUGAGUCCCCUCGAUGGUUGUCGGGGGAGCGGCUGCGGCGACGCCUGCUGGGUGAGGCCCGGCUACGAUGAGUCUGGUCGGAGGCGGCUUCCGUAUAAGAGACGUCCUGGACUCUCUUGAGCAGAGUGGCUGUUUGUCCCAUUGCGGCGAUCAGGUGUGCUCGGAUACUGGUCCGAACUCCCUGGCAUUCGGGGGUGUCAGGAAGCCGAUCCAGGUCGGCCAUGGCGACAGCCACGUUGGCGCUUGGCGUUUUGUAGACCGGCUGGUCCCCAACCAUGUCAAAGGCAUCGUUGAGGUUACCUGGUGGCGUCUGUUGUUGCUCGUCCGCACGCCGUCGGGCGCGCUCGGCGUUACGCUGUUCGCGGAGUUGCCUCUGGUCGUCUGUUUCUCCGUCAACAGCCAGUUCGUCGGCGCUGACAUUGAAUACAAUAUCCCCUCGCCGGGGGGGGGAAUAUCGGGAAUCGGUCGAAACCCGGAGGGUGUGAGGGAAAAUCCAAGUCGUAGUCCUCGUCUUCGGUGUUCAUAACCUCGGUGGGGACGGAGCCGGUGCUUGAGUUGGUGCUGGAAACCUGGCCGUCCCGUAGCUCUCGGAUGGUCACCAUGUUGACAUGGUGACGAUUGUUCCUUGUCGGCGACCAGCCCGCUUUGCCGAAAACGGAUUGGACAUGCUGUGAGUAAACAGAGGCUGAGUUGUUCAGGCCGCAGGGAUAGUCUUCCUUUUUGAGCUCGACGGAUCGUCCUGAAGGGGUUGAGGUUAUCGUCAGGGACGUUCCCAGCCGUUCGUGUGUGGCGACACGAGUUGGCCGGCGGAAUUUCGAAAAAUCCGCUCGAGCAGCUUGGUCGGUCCGGCGCAGGACUCCAUCUAUUAGUUGGGAGACUUCGAAUAGCUUGGAGUCAGCGCGAUCGAGCGCUUGGAGGAGGUCCGAGCAGUCGAUCUCCUUUCCCUUGUAGAGCGGGAACGGUGGUCGGGAGCUUGGUGCCGUCAUGCGUGUGGUCGGAGACGGCGUGAUCUCAGAUUGGAUCUGGAUCUCUUUCGGAACCGUGGUCGCGAAACCGCCGCUGCACGUCGUCCACGUGAUCUGGCCGACGGUGAACGUGAGGCCUUCGGGCACGGUCGCGAAAGCUGGGAUCGUGACCAUCUUGUUCGCCGGAAAAGUUGCACGCACACCCCCUACCUGGCGCGCCACUGUCGACGAAAGCUGGUCGGCAGUCUACCUUGGGGUAUACCCACGGUAGUAGUUUAUCGGUAGACGGUGCGCAAACUACGAACUCGAUGGUGACGCAAGACACGGACAAGCUUUUUAUCCAGGUUCGGCCGCCGAGUUGGCGUAAUACCUACGUCCUGCGUCUGGUUGUAUUGAUUUGUGUUGAGAGAAUAUGAUGUGAUGUAGGGGGGUCCCUUGCCCCUCCUUAUAUAGUCUGGAGGGCAGGGUUACAGAUCUGGAAACUAAUCCUAGUCGGUUACAAUUGCCAUGGAUAAUUCGAUAUCAAUUCCUAUUCUAACCGACUAGAAUCCUGCUUGAUCUCCACGUCUUGUUUCCUUGCGCGAAACUCCAGGUUGUCGGAUCAAGCCUUGAACUCGUCUCGUAAUGGGCCAAGCCUCCUGGCCCAAGUCUAGCCGUAAGG
rnacentral:lncRNA from 1 species